rnacentral:piRNA from 1 species
AAAGCAUUGGUCCGUUAAGCAUCUGUAGGU